CCUACGGGGUGCAGCAGUGGGGAAUAUUGGACAAUGGGCGAAAGCCUGAUCCAGCCAUGCCGCGUGUGUGAAGAAGGCCUUCGGGUUGUAAAGCACUUUCAGUGGGGAAGAAAGCCUUGGGGCUAAUACCCUCGAGGAAGGACAUCACCCACAGAAGAAGCACCGGCUAACUCCGUGCCAGCAGCCGCGGUAAUACGGAGGGUGCGAGCGUUAUUCGGAAUUACUGGGCGUAAAGCGCGCGUAGGCGGUCUGAUAAGCCGGUUGUGAAAGCCCCGGGCUCAACCUGGGAACGGCAUCCGGAACUGUCAGGCUAGAGUGCAGGAGAGGAAGGUAGAAUUCCCGGUGUAGCGGUGAAAUGCGUAGAGAUCGGGAGGAAUACCAGUGGCGAAGGCGGCCUUCUGGACUGACACUGACGCUGAGGUGCGAAAGCGUGGGUAGCAAACAGGAUUAGAUACCCCAGUAGUC
rnacentral:rRNA from 1 species